CUGGCGGCGUCCCUAAUACAUCCAAGUGAAGCGCGGGAAGCGAGCGGAUCCCCUUCGGGGGUGAAGCUCGUGGAACGAGCGGCGGACGGGUGAGUAACACGUGGGCAACCUCCCUGUAAGAUCGGAAUAACCCCGGGAAACCGGGGCUAAUGCCGGGUAACACUUUCCUCCGCAUGGAGGAGAGUUGAAAGAUGGCUUUUAGCUAUCACUUACAGAUGGGCCCGCGGCGCAUUAGCUAGUUGGUGAGGUAACGGCUCACCAAGGCAACGAUGCGUAGCCGACCUGAGAGGGUGAUCGGGGGCACUGGGACUGAGACACGGCCCAGACUCCUACGGGAGGCAGCAGUAGGGAAUCUUCCGCAAUGGACGAAAGUCUGACGGAGCAACGCCGCGUGAACGAUGAAGGUUUUCGGAUCGUAAAGUUCUGUUGUUAGGGAAGAACAAAUACCGUGCGAAUAGAGCGUACCGACAGACCUAACGAGGAAGUCCGCA
rnacentral:rRNA from 1 species